CCCCUCUCAGGAUCGCCUGGAGAGUCUCCAGUACUCUACCAGUCUCGACUAUAGGAGGGAGGGUGAGGCAGAGGCAUCUCCAUUCCAUUCCUAGCUUGGGCAGGGCUAGCGAGUGGAAGGCAAUCUACUACAAGU
rfam:Ornithorhynchus anatinus chromosome 1, whole genome shotgun sequence.